rnacentral:rRNA from 1 species
AGCCUCUAGAUAGAAAAUAGGUGCCCGUACCGCAAACCGACACAGGUAGUCAAGAUGAGAAUUCUAAGGGGAGCGAGCGAACUCUCGUUAAGGAACUCGGCAAAAUGACCCCGUAACUUCGGGAGAAGGGGUGCUCUUUAGGGUUAACGCCCAGAAGAGCCGCAGUGAAUAGGCCCAAGCGACUGUUUAUCAAAAACACAGGUCUCUGCUAAACCGUAAGGUGAUGUAUAGGGGCUGACGCCUGCCCGGUGCUGGAAGG